AAAAAUCUUGAGGAAGACGUGGUCUCUAAAGACAAAUUCCAAGGGUUUUCUAUGGUUAUCGACGUAGCUUUUCUGGCGACUCUGGGCAGUAACCAAGUUCCUUCAAAUGAUAGCAAGUUUUUCAAUAUUCUCUUGGAUGAAAUCAGGUCCCAAACAAUGUUUGUUUCUAACUUUGCUCCAGUAAGUGGUAGAACGAUAAGGCCUACUGUACAGGGCCUCAAACGGAGCCAUGUCAAUGCUAAAAUGAUAACUACUAUUAUAAGUAAAUUUACAUAGUGAAAAAUAUUCAUACCAGCUAUUGCCAAAGUC
rnacentral:lncRNA from 1 species